rnacentral:rRNA from 1 species
AGCUCCAAUAGCGUAUAUUAAAGUUGUUGCGGUUAAAAAGCUCGUAGUUGGAUUUCUGUUGAGAACAGGCGGUCCACCUUUUGGGUGAGUAUCUGCAUUGGUCUCGGCAUCUUCUCGGAAUACGGUUCUGCGCUUGAUUGCGUGGAUCGGAGUUCGGGACUUUUACUUUGAGGAAAUUAGAGUGUUCACGGCAGGCAAUCGCCCUGAAUAUAUUAGCAUGGAAUAAUAAUAUAGGAUUUCAGGCCUAUUUUGUUGGUUUCUAGGCUUGAAAUAAUGAUUAAUAGGGACAAUUGGGGGCAUUCGUAUUAACGC